CCUACGGGACGCACCAGUGGGGAAUAUUGCACAAUGGGCGCAAGCCUGAUGCAGCCAUGCCGCGUGUAUGAAGAAGGCCUUCGGGUUGUAAAGUACUUUCAGUCGGGAGGAAGGUGGUGAGCUUAAUACGCUCAUCAAUUGACGUCACCGACAGAAGAAGCACCGGCUAACUCCGUGCCAGCAGCCGCGGUAAUACGGAGGGUGCAAGCGUUAAUCGGAAUUACUGGGCGUAAAGCGCACGCAGGCGGUUGAUUGAGUCAGAUGUGAAAUCCCCGGGCUUAACCCGGGAAUUGCAUCUGAUACUGGUCAGCUAGAGUCUUGUAGAGGGGGGUAGAAUUCCAUGUGUAGCGGUGAAAUGCGUAGAGAUGUGGAGGAAUACCGGUGGCGAUGGCGGCCCCCUGGACAAAGACUGAGGCUCAGGUGCGAAAGCGUGGGGAGCAAACAGGAUUAGAUACCCGUGUAGUC
rnacentral:rRNA from 1 species